rnacentral:rRNA from 1 species
CCGCCGGCGACCGGCGCACGGGUGAGUAACACGUAUGCAACCUGGCCGUGACAGAUGGAUAACCGGGAGAAAUCCCGCCUAAUACAGCAUGACGCCGUGGGAGGCCAUCCUCCCGCGGCCAAAGGGGCGACCCGGUCACGGAUGGGCAUGCGGCGCAUUAGGUAGUUGGUGGGGCAACGGCCCACCAAGCCGACGAUGCGUAGGGGUUCUGAGAGGAAGGUCCCCCACAUUGGAACUGAGACACGGUCCAAACUCCUACGGAAGGCAGCAG